rnacentral:tRNA from 1 species
GCGCCAGCUGGGGAAGGUCGCUUCCACCUGCGGGGCCAGCAGGCCGAGAUCGCGUAGCGGCGAGUGUUCGAGUAGGUCGCUGGCAUG